rnacentral:rRNA from 1 species
GUGCACCAGUCGCGAAACCUCCGCAAUGCACGCAAGUGCGACGGGGGAACCCCAAGUGCCACUCUUAACGGGGUGGCUUUUCAGAAGUGUAAAAAGCUUCUGGAAUAAGGGCUGGGCAAGACCGGUGCCAGCCGCCGCGGUAACACCGGCAGCUCAAGUGGUAGCCGCUUUUAUUGGGCCUAAAGCGUCCGUAGCCGGUCUGAUAAGUCUCUGGUGAAAUCCCACAGCUUAACUGUGGGAAUUGCUGGAGAUACUAUCAUGACUCGAGGUCGGGAGAGGCUGGAGGUACUCCCAGGGUAGGGGUGAAAUCCUGUAAUCCUGGGAGGACCACCUGUGGCGAAGGCGUCCAGCUGGAACGAACCUGACGGUGAGGGACGAAAGCCAGGGGCGCGAACCGGAUUAGAUACCCACGUAGUCC